rnacentral:lncRNA from 1 species
GGAAAGAGAGAAAAGGAGUUUUGGUCUUGUUCCAGAGUUUUUUUAAAAUGAUAUAACUAAUUUAUUAAAAAUGGCCAAAUCUGAAUACAAAAAAUAAUGGUAAGAACUAAAACAAUUAUUACAAAAAGACACAAACGAUGCCACCAACGCUUCCAUAUCAUCAAAAGAGUAUAGAAAUCAGAUUGCCUGUUACUUGGUUAUAAUCAAAAGGUAGGCAAAUUUGUUCAAGGUGAAUUUCUUUAAAUAACAACAUUAUUUAUUGAUGAAUGAGGGUAAUAAUUGGUUCGCCGCCAAUUGGUUCAUGUAGUAAAGUGAAUCAAUUACCCUUCAAUUCUCUAGAAUGGAUGAUUGUUAUCUUCAAGUGAACAAGGAAUCAAAGUUCAAGUUCCAUUCUUCCGAAGUGCAUCGAAUUCCAUAGUCAUGGCCUUCUUCCAUCCAGGUAUGAGAAGGAUUGUCUUAGCCGAUUUGGGAACAAGAGCGUAACAUGCUUCUAUCGUCAAUACAUAGCAGAGAUUGAGUUUGAUGAUACCCAAUUGACAUCUUGUGUCACAACUCACAAGGAACAUCUUCCAUAGACCUUACUUGAUCAUCUCCACCAUCUGAGGGCAUCAAAGAGGCAACAUAAUCAGAUGGAUUUGGUGAAGAUAACUCCGGCGAGCUAUCAUGUGAAGAAGACUCUGACUGAGAAGAGGGUAAUUCCCUAUCAACCAGAUCUAGAUCUUCAGUCAAGAUGACCCAAGACGAGUUAGCACAAGAUGAAUUACUCGAGUGUCCGAGUCAACUAAUAUGGCAAACUCCGAUUCAAGGGUGUUUGACUCAACUGGUACACAGUUGGAGAAAAAUCAAACUUUGACUAGUCCAUUGAUGAGGAAUGAGGGGCAACCUCUAUAAUGUGGACGCAGAAUUAUCAACUACCUCCAUGUGAAGCAAAGAAUUAAGCGAAAAAUCAGAUUCACAAAUCUUACGUCCCUCGACAUGUACGUCCGAUAUCCUAAGAACAUGAGCAAUUAUUUUCAGAUCAAGUUUGUACAAUUAAUAUGCCU